rfam:Ohtaekwangia koreensis strain DSM 25262 genome assembly, contig: LY03DRAFT_scaffold00004.4
ACAGGGGAACGCCGAAAACCUGUAAGAGAGUAGGCA